UACGUAGGGUGCAGGCGUUAAUCGGAAUUACUGGGCGUAAAGCGUGCGCAGGCGGUUUGCUAAGACAGGUGUGAAAUCCCCGGGCUUAACCUGGGAACUGCGCUUGUAACUGGCAAGCUAGAGUGUGGCAGAGGGGGGUGGAAUUCCACGUGUAGCAGUGAAAUGCGUAGAGAUGUGGAGGAACACCGAUGGCGGAGGCAGCCCCCUGGGCUAACACUGACGCUCAUGCACGAAAGCGUGGGGAGCAAACAGG
rnacentral:rRNA from 1 species